UUCUUUUUUAAUAAUGACAGGCUUUUACAUGUUCUGAAUGAAUAUUGACAUCUGUUUUGACAGUAUUUGUUCAGUGUUUUCAUAGUAAUUAUUUUUGAAAAAGGAAAAAACAGUUUGAAAUGCUACUCUAGGCUGAGUUCCAAUGAGGAUAAUUACAUGCUACCUCCUACUAAUCCCCUUCCAGCAUUGCUGCUUAUAAUAUUCCUUGGCUGUUGUCUUUAAACUAUCGCUCACUGCUGCUCAGCAGAAGCCACCCUUCCUUUCAGAGGUGGGUAUGAUUCAUCACUGAGUGACAAAGUCUUUGUGUAUUGUGGAAAUGAAGUUGUCCUGGAAUUUCAAAACUGCUCGCUUUCCGUCUAUAUCCCUUCAAUCAGAUCACAAAUGAUCUAGAGUAGGUCUGCUUUCAAAGUUGGGUUUUCAUUUUUCUAGAGGUGAGAAGAAACUGGAGUAUGCUCUUCAAGCUUUAUUGAAGCAGUCCAGAUAUUUCAUCCAUUAGCAGUGGCCACUUUAUGUAAUUUGAAGACCUGUGAGCCUGAUUUUCCCUGACUGUGCUGUCCAAGAAGCAAGAAGCAAGACCAACUGCUAAUACCUAACAACAUCACUGAAUGGAGACAGUGGCUUCUCUGCAGUUAUGCUGCUUUUUAUGUUGGUGGAGAGCCUGGUCCACAAAGGUGGUAGACACUGAAGGAUGCAGGAUAAUAAUCCAAGAUUUUAAGGGGCGGAGGAAAAAGAAAAAUGAUACCAUUGUUAUUGAAAAGAUGGAGAAGCAUUGACUUUGGCUUAUUUUGGGGGGUUAGCACACAACAGGCACACUGUAGAUGGGAAUAGGAUGUCCCAGGUGUGCUAUUCCCAGUAACUGUUACUGUUGAUCCUGAAAGGUAGUACCAGGAGAAUUUGAUAUCCAGUGUGCCAACCCAUUCUGGAACUCUGGAGGUAGCAAUUUUCUGGUGAAAUACUGAUGUUAGUGAAUAGACAUUGACCAGUAGAGACAGAUGGAUAAGCAGAAUGCACAGAAGGUACCAGAACAACUAUUUAGAAAAGAUGCCAGCUAUAAAUAAAUAUAACACAUUGAAAGUUGCUUUACA
rnacentral:lncRNA from 1 species